rfam:Oryza barthii chromosome 4, whole genome shotgun sequence.
AAAAAGACAAACCAUGGCUUCCCGUGCCAACGUUUGACUAUCCGUGUUAUAUGAAAUUUUUUUAUAAUUAGUAUUUUCAUUGUUGUUAGAUGAUAAAAUAUGAUUAAUACUUUAUACGUGACUUAUCUUUUUAAUUUUUUUCAUAAUUUUUUUAAAUAAGACGAACGGUCAAACGUUGGACACGGAAACCAGGGUAUGUCUUUUUU